ensembl:lncRNA
UGUUGAUUUUUUAGAAUUACACUGAACCAAAAAUAUAAGCGCAACAUGUAAAGUGUUGGUCCCAUGUUUCAUGAACUGAAAUAAAAGAUCAGAGAAAAUGUUCCACAUCUUAUUUCUCUCACAAGAAGCUGAGUUAAACGGAUCAUUACACAUGGGGCAAAUCCAACACAAUACUGACACUGAUAGCCACUCUCCAUAUGUUUAAGCAUAGUGUUGGCUGCAUCAUGUUAUGGGUAUGCUUGUAAUCAUUAAGGACUGGGGAGUUUUUCAGGAUAAAAAAGAAACAGAAUGGAGCUAAACACAGGCAAAAUCCUAGAGGAAAACCUGGUUCUGUCUACUUUCCAACAGACACUAGGAGAUUAAUUCACCUUACCAACAAAAUAGUGAAUGUUCCUGAGCGGCUGAGUUACAGUUUUGACUUAAAUCGGCUUGAAAAUCUAUGGCAAGACUUGACAGUUUUUUUUGUCUAGCAAUUAACAAUAAGCAAUUUGACAGAGCUUGAAUAAUUUUAAAAUAAUAAAACAUGCAAAUGUUGUACAAUCCAGGUGUGCAAAGAGACUUCGCUGCCAAAGGUGAUUCUAACGUAUUGACUUAGGGGUGUGAAGAAUAAUGUAAAUAAGAUAUUUCUGUCACUGUCAUUAUGGGAGGGGGGGGUUGCAUUUAUUGAAUCCAUUUUGAAUUCAGGCUGUAACACAACAAAAUGUGUUUAUAAGUCAAGGGGUAUGAAUACUUUCUGAAGGCACUGGAGAUCAGCUCUUUCCCUAAUGGUGAGAGAUGUAGCUCAGAAGAUCACUUGUAAGUUAUAAACAACACUUGUAGUUAGUGAAUCCAAUUUCAAACAUGACAGUACAACGUGUAACUACGGUAGAAGCAGUACCUGAUUUCCUACAGGGAACAGGCUGCUCUUUGAACAGGGCAUUUUCACAUGGACCUCGUCCCAGGUGUCUCUGAACUUAUUGGGAUAGGGAACAGGAACUUUGCCUGUUUGAAGGAGGUCUGUCUGUUGGAGAGAAAACACAGCACGAGGAGAACAUGAACGGCAGUGGAAUUCGACGACGACGACGAUGAUGAUGAUGAUGAUGACGACGACGACGAUGAUGAUGAUGAUGAUGAUGAUGAUGAUGACGAUGAAUCAUGUGUCUUACUAACUUUCACCAUUUAAUCAUUAAUAAUGCACAUUUGUGUUCAUCAUACUUCACACAUCCUUGGGGCGGCAGGUAGUGGUUAGAGACAGGGAGCCUAGUGGUUAGAGGCAGGUAGCCUAGUGGUUAGAGGCAGGUAGCCAAGUGGUUAGAGGCAGGUAGCCUAGUGGUUAGAGGCAGGUAGCCUAGUGGUUAGAGGCAGGUAGCCUAGUGGUUAGAGGCAGGUAGCCAAGUGGUUAGAGGCAGGUAGCCAAGUGGUUAGAGGCAGGUAGCCAAGUGGUUAGAGGCAGGUAGCCAAGUGGUUAGAGACAGGUAGCCUAGUGGUUAGAGGCAGGUAGCCAAGUGGUUAGAGGCAGGUAGCCUAGUGGUUAGAGGCAGGUAGCCAAGUGGUUAGAGACAGGUAGCCUAGUGGUUAGAGACAGGUAGCCUAGUGGUUAGAGGCAGGUAGCCUAGUGGUUAGAGACAGGUGGCCCAGUGGUUAGAGGCAGGUAGCCUAGUGGUUAGAGGCAGGUAGCCUAGUGGUUAGAGGCAGGUAGCCUAGUGGUUAGAGGCAGGUAGCCUAGUGGUUAGAGGCAGGUAGCCUAGUGGUUAGAGGCAGGUAGCCUAGUGGUUAGAGGCAGGUAGCCUAGUGGUUAGAGACAGGUAGCCUAGUGGUUAGAGACAGGUAGCCUAGUGGUUAGAGACAGGUAGCCUAGUGGUUAGAACAUUGGGCCAGUAACCGUAAAGGUUGCUUGAUCGAAUCCCCGAGCUGACAAGAUAAAAAAUAAAAAAAUAUGUCGUUCUGCCCCGAACAAGGCAGUUUAACCCACUGUUCCCCGAACAAGGCAGUUUAACCCACUGUUCCCCGAACAAGGCAGUUUAACCCACUGUUCCCCCGAACAAGGCAGUUUAACCCACUGUUCCACCGAACAAGGCAGUUUAACCCACUGUUCCACCGAACAAGGCAGUUUAACCCACUGUUCCCCCGAACAAGGCAGUUUAACCCACUGUUCCCCCGAGCAAGGCAGUUUAACCCACUGUUCCCCCGAGCAAGGCAGUUUAACCCACUGUUCCCCCGAGCAAGGCAGUUUAACCCACUGUUCCCCGA